GAAGAUGAGAAUUCCUAUCCCAAGGCACAACCCUCCACUUACUACCUUGAUGCCACAGGGAGGAAGUUUCUUCCUAGCAGUAGAGAUGGAUUAUGGUUUGGGGAUCCUUGGAAAAGUUCCUCUCUUCUCACAAAUCCCUGUCUUCUGCUACUCCUGGUGGUCAGGAAGGCUAUACAUUUUAACUCAAGUCAGUGGCCACUGUGGCAGUCAUUAACACUGUUCACUAAAUUUUCCUCCUGGGGAUACAGUGAUACUAUGCAUCCCCUCCCCCAACCUUUUAAGUUACAGUGGCCAUGUGACUUGCUCUGGCCAAUGAGAUGUGGGCUGAAAUAACAGGUGUCUUUCCAAUAGAUGCAUUACAAGCCAGUGUGAGUUUUCUAGAUUCUCUUUUGCCAACUCCACCCUCCAACUUCCUGACUCCUAUCUUGGCAAAUGGAAAUGAUUAGAUGGCAAUUGCUCCAUCAGUCUGGGCUCUGGAGGGUGGAUGAUGAGACAUAACUUCCUGACUCCCAUCUUGGCAAAUGGAAAUGAUUAGAUGGCAGCUGCUCCAUCAGUCUGGGCUCUGGAGAGGGUGGGGGGUGGAUGAUGAGACACAGAGUCAUGGGCACAGCAUAUAGCAUGGGAAGAACAUGUGGAACAUAUAGAGCAUACUGUCUUAAAUCACUGAGAUUUUGAGGCUGUCACUACAUCAGAGCCUGGGUCUACACUCACUGAUGUGAAUUUGCAGUUUUCUUACUGUGUGCAAAGUACUGACCUAAACUAGAAGGGAUACAGAUAUUUCAUUAAGAAAUAAGUUAGGGGUGCCUGACUGGCUCAGAUGGUAGGGAGUGCACCUCGAUCUUGAGGUCGUGAGUUUGAGCCCCUCCUUGGGGGUAGAGUUUACUUAAAACACAAAAAAGAAACAAGUUAAUUUUCUGACAUUCCCUUUCUUUGGGCGCCAACCUUUCUUGUUUGGUUUACAAUCAGAGAAAUCAGACCAGCUUCUGCCACUUAUACAUUAGUAUGAAUAAGUUUUAGAGCUGGAAUUAUUAGCAAACUGUAGAACUACUUUCAGGAAUUGUAGAGAGAAAGUUCUUACUGAUAAAAUUUCUGUGCUUUUGCAAACCACUAUAAACAUAGGAUAGAUUUUUAUACAGAGAUAAACACAUAUAGCAAACCUGAGUUAAGGAGUAUAUAUGAUUUCAGCAAUUCACUCUAGGACAAAAAAAUGUAGUCACUUCAUUUAACUAAAAUGUAUAUUAUUUAUAAUCAAUUCCAUAUACUCCUAGCUGUUUUAUAAUUUUUUUUAACGUUUAUUCAUUUUUUGCAAGACAGAGAGAGACAGAGCGUGAAUGGGCGAGGGGCAGAGAGAGAGGGAGAUACGAAUCCCAAGCAGGCUCCAGGCUCUGAACUGACAGCAUAGAGCCUGACGCGGGGCUCUAACUCACAGACUGUGAGAUCAUGACCUGAGCCGAAGUCGGAUGCUUAACUGAGCCACCCAGGCGCCCCACUCCUAGCUCUUUUAAAGUACAUAUUAAAGUUCCAAUCAUAAUAAAACAUUCAAUGAGAGAUGAUUAUAACUCAUUAACCAUGGAAAUCUAAUUAACAAAUAAGCAAAAUUACUAUACUCUAAUGUCACAUUGAAACUUUUUAAGUGAAAACUGAUGUUCACUAUAUCAUAUUCCUUUCUUUUGUAAAAAAUUCAAUAAUAAAUGCUAAACAGUAAAUUUAAUACCUAAAGUAUAUGUAAAUAUCAACCUAAACUAAGAAGCAUAAGGUUAAAUACAUCAGUACAAAAUAACAUAAGGAAACAAUCAAUAGCCUUUAGUAAACAUGAUUAAAAUUGUUCUUUUUCAGAAAAGUAGCAUAAGUGUACCAUUAAAUGGCUAAGAAAGUUUUAGCUGGAUCGUUUCCUCAAACUAAAGCAAAUAUACAUUGCACAAUUCCUUUCCCAUUUACCUUUUAUAAUUUCUUCUUUAUGUUUACAAUUUCACAAAAUGUUCUAAUGUCUAUUCUGUUUUAAAGGUCCACCAUAAAUGACCAACGAUACUUAGUAAUUAAUUAAAUUUCGAUGUAGUCUCUAGCUCACUGGUUUUCAAAACUUUCUCCUUCACAGAACCAGCAAUUACAGAACAGACUUAAAAAAAAAAAAAGCAAGCUGUUCUGCCAGGAUCAGUAGGAGAGGUUGAGGUGGGGAGUGGGGUACAGCUGUGGGGGCUUACACAGGGGAUCAGAGAUUGUGCACAUUUUCAGCCACCUUGUUAUAUAUUCUUUCUGUCUCAACACACCGCCUCAAUCUUCCAGGCCAUUUGCUUAUUUACAUUAUCAAUGCACAGAUUUUGCUUUAAAAUUAGAAGAAUUUUCUGUUGGGUUUUAAAAAAAUAAAAGUCACAGAAGGCCUGAUAAAGGUUUAGUCAGAAACAUUUACUAAAUAUUUUCUAGUACUAGACACACAGUGUUCAGCAAAGGGAUAUAAAAACAGCAGAAACUUAAUCCUUAUUUUUGAGUUACACAGAUUCUACUGGGGAAAGGGACAGUGGAGGAGUAAGAGGACCAGGAACAACAAGUGGUAACAGCAUGUGCAGAGGAUGCAGGAAGGGAGUCUUGGACUCCUCCUUGUAGGAGUAGAAAUGGUACCAGCAGUCAGGUCAGGGAGGGCCUCACUGAAGGGCCAUAUCUAGGCUGGGGGAGGUGGGAGAGCCAUUCUGGGGAUAGCAAGUGUGGAUAUAAAAAGUGCACAGAUGUGCUUGGAGUAUUUUAGGAAGGAAAAAAAAAAAGCACAUUGUAGUUACAGAGGAAGGUGUGUGAGGGG